rnacentral:rRNA from 1 species
GCCCAGACUCCUACGGGAGGCAGCAGUGGGGAAUAUUGCACAAUGGGGGAAACCCUGAUGCAGCGACGCCGCGUGAGCGAUGAAGUAUUUCGGUAUGUAAAGCUCUAUCAGCAGGGAAGAAAAUGACGGUACCUGACUAAGAAGCCCCGGCUAACUACGUGCCAGCAGCCGCGGUAAUACGUAGGGGGCAAGCGUUAUCCGGAAUUACUGGGUGUAAAGGGAGCGCAGACGGCAGUGCAAGUCUGGAGUGAAAGCCCGGGGCUUAACUACGGGACUGCUCUGGAAUCUGUGCAGCUAGAGUGCAGGAGAGGCAGGCGGAAUUCCUAGUGUAGCGGUGAAAUGCGUAGAUAUUAGGAGGAACACCGGUGGCGAAGGCGGCCUGCUGGACUGUAACUGACGUUGAGGCUCGAAAGCGUGGGGAGCAAACAGGAUUAGAUACCCCAGUAC